GAUGAACGCUGGCGGCGUGCCUAAUACAUGCAAGUCGAGCGAACAGACGAGGAGCUUGCUCCUUCGACGUUAGCGGCGGACGGGUGAGUAACACGUAGGUAACCUACCUAUAAGACUGGGAUAACUUCGGGAAACCGGAGCUAAUACCGGAUAAUAUUUCGAACCGCAUGGUUCGAUAGUGAAAGAUGGCUUUGCUAUCACUUAUAGAUGGACCUGCGCCGUAUUAGCUAGUUGGUAAGGUAACGGCUUACCAAGGCAACGAUACGUAGCCGACCUGAGAGGGUGCUCGGCCACACUGGAACUGAGACACGGUCCAGACUCCUACGGGAGGCAGCAGUAGGGAAUCUUCCGCAAUGGGCGAAAGCCUGACGGAGCAACGCCGCGUGAGUGAUGAAGGUCUUCGGAUCGUAAAACUCUGUUAUUAGGGAAGAACAAACGUGUAAGUAACUGUGCACGUCUUGACGGUACCUAAUCAGAAAGCCACGGCUAACUACGUG
rnacentral:rRNA from 1 species